UACGUAGGUGGCAAGCGUUGUCCGGAAUUAUUGGGCGUAAAGCGCGCGCAGGCGGCCUCUUAAGUCUGAUGUGAAAGCCCCCGGCUCAACCGGGGAGGGCCAUUGGAAACUGGGAGGCUUGAGUAUAGGAGAGAAGAGUGGAAUUCCACGUGUAGCGGUGAAAUGCGUAGAGAUGUGGAGGAACACCAGUGGCGAAGGCGACUCUUUGGCCUAUAACUGACGCUGAGGCGCGAAAGCGUGGGAGCAAACAG
rnacentral:rRNA from 1 species